UUCAAACCACCACACUCUACAUAGAGCUCUUACCUGAAAGGGAUUCAAAGUAAGAGUGACUCAAGUCACAGAGACAUUUAGUCUCACUUGUGUAACUGCCAGGAGGGAUGUGACCCAAGACUGUGGGUGUCUCUGAACCACUGUGAGUCAUCAGUCUCCUCUCAGAGCAUUCAGUCUACAUCCAGGAUGCCACAGGAGGGGCAGGAAGUAGGAAGAAGAACCUGAUCCUCUUCCCUUUGCUGCGGAGGGACGGUGAACGACCAAGAUGGAGGAACCAGCAAACCUAGCGUCCUGUGAGGAGCCUUUCUGCCACAUGGAUGUUACCGAGAAGGAAAAGAAGGCUCUGCAUGGCCUCUAAAUACAGAUACGAAUCCUAUUCUUGAGGAGGGAAAAUAAGCUCUGCAAAGGAGUACUUGGCUAGCCAGGCUCACAGAACAUCUUGCAAGUUUGAAAGCGUUCUAAGGUAUGUGUACUGUAGCUUGUCGAGGCC